UACAGUCAUAUCAUGUUGAAACACUUGCUGACGUUUGAUCACCAAAGUUAAGCAAUGUGGAACUUGGUCAGUACCUAGAUGGGUGACCACUUGGGUAUACCAGUUGCUGUAAG